AAGUAUAUUUAUUCAGAAUUAUAAAAAUGAUGAAUGAGUAAUAUUACAGGUUCCUAAUUAAAAUUGAUACGAUGACGUAAGCGGCGAGGGACCUGAUCCAGCGGGGAAGCACCGCGGCGGGGACGCCUUCGACGUCGGCCACGAGGAGGGACAACAGAAGAAGAGGCAUGCGGAAGAUCGCCACCAGACCAUUCUUCAAAAAUUGAUUCCCUAGCAGCAACAGCAACACUCUGCCGCUCAACAAUAAGCUGGCGCAGAGAAGGAAGAUCCAAGGUCGACGACCGAGGAUCCAAAAUAUUCAAAAUUCGAUCCAGCUCCUCAAUCUCUCCCUGAAUAAAAUCAGCAAAGAGACUCACAAGAAGAG
rnacentral:lncRNA from 1 species